UGUUAUAAUGCAUACACCCCAAAACUAAAGCAAACUAGCCACAUUGGAUAUCAACGUUCAAAUGAUCAACAUGUUAUAUCACGCCAUACUAACUUUAUUUGCAGUAACCAUUAUUGGAAUGGUUACAAAACUUUUACAAAGACAGAAGAGGGACGCAAGACUCAAAUCGAGCCUCAAAUAUAAUUUUAAAAUGCGUUCGUGAAAGUUAUGAUAAAACGUCAUCAGGCAAACCCCUGCAUGUCUCCUGCCAUCAUACCACGGAUUCAUGUCGAGCAUAUCCAACUGUUAGGUACCCUGACUAUACUAUCCUCUGACGAGGAUGAUCCUACCCUGUCCACUUCCUUGCAAGUGGUGACAGAGCUGCUCUUAGGCUCCAAAUGUUGCAAUGUUUAUGCAACAGUACCAGGUAUGGCUUCGGAUUCUUGACUUGGAGGCGGAGUGAUUGGUAGAAUGGCUGGGCUGGAGGAGUAAUCGUAUACAUGACAUCAAGCUAAUGUUCUGAGAGAAAAAAAAAAGAUUUCAGAUAGAAAUUACGCAAGAAAAUGGAAAUGUAUUGAAAAGAAGCCGUUAUUCUCAAACAGAGAGGGUGGAAAUUAGUGGUAAAGUUGACGCCGAAAGUAAAGGAAAGGUACCCUGACAUCUGACGAGGAUGAUCCUACCCUGUCCACUUCCUCGCCAGCGGUGACAGAGCUGCUCGUGGGCUCCAAAUGUUGCAAUGUUUCUUCAACAGUACCAGGUUUGGAUUCGGAUUCUUGACUGGGAGGCGGAGUGAUUGGUAAAAUGGCGGGGCUGGAGGAGUGUUCAUAUACAUAACAUCCAGCUGAUCUGAAAGAAAAAAUAAAUUCAAGUAUAUUUUUUUAACUGAAAUAGUAAAAUUAAACAGAUUAUACAUGUAUAUAACAUGCAAUUUUUAUUAUGUCUUCAUUUCAUCACUUUUUAUAUGUGUUAGUUCUAUGUAGAUCUAUUUUUGGAAAUAUAUUCACAUCGUCAAUACAUUUUCAAGUGAAAUAAAAUGAGAGAUAUUUUUUUCUAGUUUACAGUAUUUAUACAUGAACAGCAUAAAAAAAUGCCGAGGUCUCAGGUUAUAUUGGUGCCUUCUAGGCCUUAAAUUAUAAAAACGCCUUCUAAUUUACAUAGGCCUUUUGGCUUCUUCCAUGAGCACUUUCAACGGACAUUUCUGAUAGAAAUUACGCCAGAAAAUGGAAAUGAAUGAAAAGAAGUCGUUAUUCUCAACCAGAGAGGGUGGAAGUUAGUACCAAAGUUAACGCCGAAAGUAAAGGUUGAUGUAACCUAAUUCACCGCGGGAAACGGUUAAAAAUAUGUCCACAUAAACCGGAAUGGUUAUACCCUCAGCCUGCAUUAUGAAGAAUUUGAAGAAUUAUGCCUUGUCAAAGAGGCAAUAAUUUGAGACAACUCCAUCAUCUGGACGAGGUUCUACCCAUAAAAAGCGAAUGAACACAUCGAUGACCAUAAAGAAGAACUUUACACUGGAGUUUUGCUUUAAAAAUGAUGUCAUAUUGCUCGAAUGGUUCGCCAACUUCUUCACGUGCGCGCCUAAAUGACCAUGUUACAUGGUGUAUACUAUAAUCGUCGAGGCUUUGAGUAUACCGGCUAAUCGUGUGUAAAACUGGAGAGUCAAUUCCUUGCUAUUUCAGUUUUGAUGUACUUACUUAGGGCUUAAGAAUGUCCUACCUUAUUAAAGUUGUUAUAAAUGUCA